UAAAAUCGCAAAAUCUCUGGUAUAUAUUAUCAGGAGUGUAUGAAGAGGAGUAUGCGACUCCCAUGCACAUUCCAUUCUAUAUUUCGGAUUGAAUCCGUCACUAACACUUGUAGUUGUGUAAACUGUUAGCCAUGCAUAAAUGUGGGCUUGGAGGUACAAACCACAUGCGUGUAUGCUGAUAUCAUUUUUAACUAAUUCUACGCACCCACUUAAGAUGCGGUCUGAUAGUGACGUAGUAUGACAUACUGGUACCGAAACAUGGUUUACACUACAACUGCUACAGUUGGAUACUCCUCUUCAUACACUCCUGAUAUUAUGCUGCAUGGUAGCUUGCAAAGGGUCACAUUUUCUGCUGAUCUGAUUUGGCUCAUUUUCUUCACUCGCAAACUAACUGCAUGAUUCUAGGUAUAAUUUUUACGUUUUGGCAGGUCCUAUGAUUUCCUCUAGGGUGAUUUUCAGGGUCCACGCACUUAAUAAAGUCAGACUGCAUUUUGAAUGUACCAGGAAUGAACCUGCAUGUAUAUAUAAUUCUGUGCAUAGGUCGGAGUAUAAUUAUUCAAAGCAUGCAUGCUCAGGGGUAUUAAGGACUGUCCAAAUUAAAAUGACAUGGAAUUUUGUUAUAAUGAUAUUCAUGUGCGCGACGUCAUCGCUUUGGAAUGUUUAUCACGUGCGUGGGUGGCAAAUGUCUGCAAUUACUAGUGAGGGCGGAGCUUGGGUCACAUGACACUGUACUUAAUUUAUUAAAGUUGACCGUAGCUAGUUGAUCGAGUAAAACCCUGAAAGCAUUUGUUGUAGGCUACCUAGUAGCUAUUAAAGGCCUUAACUAAGACUAUUAGAUAGUAGAGAACUUGUUUCCUGCUGCGCAAGACAGAGUGCAGCCAAGCAAGAAAGUUAGGAGGAGAAAUCAGGGACAAUUCAGCAGGAUUUCAUCAGUAUAUGAUAUGUACAUCAGGAUUCCUGGAAAAGAUAGGAUCUAACUAACCUGGAACAAAUGCUUUAUUUAUAAUUAGUUUUACAAUGAAAUUUCAUGUUAAUUGGUCACAUGAUAAUCACAUGAUCUUUAUUUUUGAUUAAGGAAACUUAAAUUUUUAUGAGAAAACAAAAUGUCAAAUUGA